rnacentral:rRNA from 1 species
UACGGGGGGGGGCAAGCGUUGUUCGGAAUUACUGGGCGUAAAGGGCUCGUAGGUGGCCAACUAAGUCGGACGUGAAAUCCCCCGGCUCAACCGGGGAACGGGCAGCGAUACGGGCGGCCUGGAGGGGGGUAGGGGGGGCCGGAACUCACGGUGGAGCGGUGAAAUGCGUAGAUAUCUGGAGGAACACCGGUGGCGAAGGCGGCAUCCUGGACCGGCAUUGACGCUGAGGCGCGAAAGCCAGGGGAGCAAAGCGGG